UACGGAGGGGGCUAGCGUUGUUCGGAAUUACUGGGCGUAAAGCGUACGUAGGCGGUUAUUCAAGUCAGAGGUGAAAGCCCGGAGCUCAACUUCGGAAUUGCCUUUGAAACUAGAUAACUUGAACGUCGGAGAGGUGAGUGGAAUUCCGAGUGUAGAGGUGAAAUUCGUAGAUAUUCGGAAGAACACCAGUGGCGAAGGCGGCUCACUGGACGACUGUUGACGCUGAGGUACGAAAGCGUGGGGAGCAAACAGG
rnacentral:rRNA from 1 species